UGUAGUUAGCUAUAUAUCAAAAAAUAUAGCAACUAAGGUGGAGCAAGUCAUUGUACUAAAGAUGUUUGUAAUACCUUGAUGUUCCCGCUGGGAGCAAUAACA
rnacentral:snRNA from 1 species